GAUUAACGCUGGCGGCGUGCCUAACACAUGCAAGUCGAACGGGGUAGCAAUACUCCAGUGGCAGACGGGUGAGUAACACGUGACCAACCUACCCUAGAGCGGGGGAGUAACUAGCCGAAAGGUUAGCUAAUACCGCAUGACACGAAGCGAGGCAUCUCGCAACGUUGAAAGGAGCAAUCCGCUCGAGGACGGGGUCGCGUCCGAUUAGCUAGUUGGUGGGGUAACGCCUACCAAGGCNCCGAUCGGUAGCUGGUUGGAGAGAGCGACCAGCCACACUGGGACUGAGAAACGGCCCAGACUCCUACGGGAGGCAGCAGUGAGGAAUUUUCCGCAAUGGGCGAAAGCCUGACGGAGCGACGCCGCGUGUGGGAAGAAGGCCUUCGGUCGUAACC
rnacentral:rRNA from 1 species